rnacentral:rRNA from 1 species
GACAGAGGUGCCAAGCGUUUAGGCGGAAUCACUGGGCUUAAAGCGUGUGUAGGCGGAGUGCUAAGUACCUUGUGAAAUCCCACGGCUCAACCGUGGAACUGCUGGGUAUACUGGUUCUCUUGAGCGACCCAGGGGCGAGCGGAACAAACGGUGGAGCGGUGAAAUGCGUAGAUAUUGGGAGGAACACCAGUGGCGAAGGCGGCUACCUGGACCGGAACUGACGCUGAUGCGCGAAAGCGUGGGUAGCAAACAGG